rnacentral:rRNA from 1 species
AACGAACGCUGGCGGCAUGCCUAACACAUGCAAGUCGAACGAGACCUUCGGGUCUAGUGGCGCACGGGGGCGUAACGCGUGGGAACCUGCCCUUAGGUUCGGAAUAACUCCCCGAAAGGGGUGCUAAUACCGGAUAAUGUCUUCGGACCAAAGAUUUAUCGCCUUUGGAUGGGCCAGCGUUGGAUUAGCUAGUUGGUAGGGUAAAAGCCUACCAAGGCGACGAUCCGUAGCUGGUCUGAGAGGAGGAUCAGCCACACUGGGACUGAGACACGGCCCAGACUCCUACGGGAGGCAGCAGUGGGGAAUAUUGCACAAUGGGCUAAAGCCUGAUCCACCUAUGCCGCGUGAGUGAUGAAGGCCUUAGGGUUGUAAAGCUCUUUUACCCGGGAUGAUAAUGACAGUACCGGGAGAAUAAGCUCCGGCUAACUCCGUG